rnacentral:rRNA from 1 species
GACGAACGCUGGCGGCGUGCUUAACACAUGCAAGUCGAACGGAAAGGCUCCAGCUUGCUGGAGUGCUCGAGUGGCGAACGGGUGAGUAACACGUGGGCAAUCUGCCCUGCACUCUGGGAUAAGCCUGGGAAACUGGGUCUAAUACCGGAUAGGACCUUUCUCCUCAUGGGGUUUGGUGGAAAGUUUUUCGGUGCAGGAUGAGCCCGCGGCCUAUCAGCUUGUUGGUGGGGUAAUGGCCUACCAAGGCGACGACGGGUAGCCGGCCUGAGAGGGUGAUCGGCUACAUUGGGACUGAGAUACGGCCCAGACUCCUACGGGAGGCAGCAGUGGGGAAUAUUGCACAAUGGGCGAAAGCCUGAUGCAGCGACGCCGCGUGAGGGAUGACGGCCUUCGGGUUGUAAACCUCUUUCAGUAGGGACGAAGCGCAAGUGACGGUACCUGCAGAAGAAGCACCGGCUAACUACGUG